AUGGGGCGGUGCCGGGGCGCAGGGCUGGCAGGGCUGGCCGCGCUGCUGCUGGUGGCUGUGGGCAGAGCCCAGGUGCUGCAGGAGCCGCCAGCAGAGACCACCGAGGGCAUCGGCAUCAGCAUCAACUGCUCGCACCCCAACAUAAAGCCUUACGACUCCAUCCACUGGUACCGUCAGCUCCCGGGACGAGGCCCCGCGUUGCUCCUGAGCACUCUCAAAGACUCCAAAGAGCUGCGGGACCCGCCGGGGCGGCUGUGGGUGUCGGCAGAGCGCCGCUCCAGCGCCCUGUGGCUCGCCCGGCCCCGGCGCGGGGACGCGGCGGUGUAUUACUGCGCUCACUUCCGCCUCCAGUACAGUCAACUCUUGGGACCCCCGUGUCACCCCAGAAAUACAAAUGGGUUCUGCCCCUCUAUAGCUUGAUGGUAUUAAAGUACACUGCGCACCCGUGUCCACUAGAGCCUUAUACUCCUGUGGGUCUGAUGUGCCA